UAGGGAAUUUUCCACAAUGGGCGAAAGCCUGAUGGAGCAACGCCGCGUGCAGGAGGAAGGCCUUCGGGUUGUAAACUGCUUUUAUCUGUGACGAUUAUGACGGUAGCAGAUGAAUAAGGAUCGGCUAACUCCGUGCCAGCAGCCGCGGUCAUACGGAGGAUCCAAGCGUUAUCCGGAAUUACUGGGCGUAAAGAGUUGCGUAGGUGGCAUAGCAAGCAGAUAGUGAAAGGCUACGGCUUAACCGUAGAUACAUUAUCUGAACUGCUAAGCUUGAGCAUAAGAGAGGUACCUGGAAUUCCCAGUGUAGGAGUGAAAUCCGUAGAUAUUGGGAGGAACACCGAUGGCGUAGGCAGGGUACUAGCUUAUUGCUGACACUAAGGCACGAAAGCGUGGGGAGCGAACGGGAUUAGAUACCCCCGUAGUCC
rnacentral:rRNA from 1 species